rnacentral:rRNA from 1 species
AGCAGUAGCCGCGGUAAUACGUAGGGUGCAAGCGUUAAUCGGAAUUACUGGGCGUAAAGCGUGCGCAGGCGGUCUGACAAGUCAGAUGUGAAAUCCCCGGGCUUAACCUGGGAACUGCAUUUGAAACUGUCAGGCUGGAGUCUUGUAGAGGGGGGUAGAAUUCCAGGUGUAGCGGUGAAAUGCGUAGAGAUCUGGAGGAAUACCGGUGGCGAAGGCGGCCCCCUGGACAAAGACUGACGCUCAGGUGCGAAAGCGUGGGGAGCAAACAGGAUUAGAUACCCCGGUAGUCCCUGUCUCUUAUAC